UACGUAGGGAGCAAGCGUUGUUCGGAUUUACUGGGCGUAAAGGGCGCGUAGGCGGCGUGUCAAGUCGAUUGUGAAAUCUCCGGGCUUAACUCGGAACGGCCAAUCGAUACUGACGUGCUAGAGUGCAGAAGGGGCAACUGGAAUUCUCGGUGUAGCGGUGAAAUGCGUAGAUAUCGAGAGGAACACCUGCGGCGAAGGCGGGUUGCUGGGCUGACACUGACGCUGAGGCGCGAAAGCUAGGGGAGCGAACGGG
rnacentral:rRNA from 1 species